UCAUAGAUUUAGUUUCUACAGCUUAUGUUGAAUUUAUUUAGUAGGCAAUUUAAUGUUGUAAAGUUUUAUACUUGUAUACCUCAUCUGGUUUUAUCAAACAUUUCUGGAUAUCCCUACCUUCCUCAUCUGUCAAGAUAUGUUGCAGAAACCUUUUGUCAGGUGGUGGAAGACAAUUUAGCUGCUUUGACACCCAAUUUAUUGUUGAAAUACAAAUAUGCAAAGCCAACUCA